UACGUAGGGUGCAAGCGUUGUCCGGAAUUAUUGGGCGUAAAGAGCUCGUAGGCGGUUUGUCGCGUCUGCUGUGAAAACUCAGGGCUUAACUCUGAGCUUGCAGUGGGUACGGGCAGACUAGAGUGCGGUAGGGGAGACUGGAAUUCCUGGUGUAGCGGUGAAAUGCGCAGAUAUCAGGAGGAACCCCGGUGGCGAAGGCGGGUCUCUGGGCCGUAACUGACGCUGAGGAGCGAAAGCAUGGGAGCGAACAGG
rnacentral:rRNA from 1 species